rnacentral:rRNA from 1 species
AUUGAACGCUGGCGGCAUGCUUUACACAUGCAAGUCGAACGGUAACAGGCCGCAAGGUGCUGACGAGUGGCGAACGGGGGAGUAAUGCAUCGGAACGUGCCCAGUCGUGGGGGAUAACUACUCGAAAGAGGAGCUAAUACCGCAUACGAGCUAUGGAUGAAAGCGGGGGACCGUAAGGCCUCGCGCGAGUGGAGCGGCCGAUGUCAGAUUAGGUAGUUGGUGGGGUAAAGGCUCACCAAGCCAACGAUCUGUAGCUGGUCUGAGAGGACGACCAGCCACACUGGGACUGAGACACGGCCCAGACUCCUACGGGAGGCAGCAGUGGGGAAUUUUGGACAAUGGGCGCAAGCCUGAUCCAGCAAUGCCGCGUGCAGGAAGAAGGCCUUCGGGUUGUAAACUGCUUUUGUACGGAACGAAACGGCUCUGGUUAAUACCCGGGGCUCAUGACGGUACCGUAAGAAUAAGCACCGGCUAACUACGUG